CAAUGCUAAUCAUCUCUACCCAUUACAGAUUCAAUUCUAUGCAAUAAACAUUGGAUUAAUCGACUGCAUUGUAAGGAGGAGCACGAGUGGGUUUGAAACUUUGUACUUUCGUACUUGGAAGUACGGAUCACCUAGAAUGGAAACGGACAUGGAACCCAGACCCAGUGUGAGAACUCAAGGAGAGGAGAUUUGGUCAAUUAUUAAGACUAAGACAAGUGAAUGUCUAAGGACUACCUCGCCUAAUAAGUUUCAACGCCCACAAGCAAUCCUGUCUUGAUAUGUGUAGAAUACAGCAUUUCAUUUUUAUAAACUCUUCAUGUAACAAUUUCUCAAAAACUCAUUUUUGCAUUGUCUGCUUUGGCAUAGAGUUU
rnacentral:lncRNA from 1 species